AAACUUUCAACAAUGGAUCUCUUGGCUCUUGCAUCGAUGAAGAACGCAGUGAAGUGCGAUAUGUAGUGUGAAUUGCAGAAUUCCGUGAAUCAUCGAAUCUUUGAACGCAUAUUGCGCUCUCUGGUAUUCCGGAGAGUAUGCCUAUUUGAGGGUCAUUU
rnacentral:rRNA from 1 species